rnacentral:rRNA from 1 species
GAUGAACGCUGGCGGCGUGCCUAAUACAUGCAAGUCGAGCGAACGGACGAGAAGCUUGCUUCUCUGAUGUUAGCGGCGGACGGGUGAGUAACACGUGGAUAACCUACCUAUAAGACUGGGAUAACUUCGGGAAACCGUAGCUAAUACCGGAUAAUAUUUUGAACCGCAUGGUUCAAAAGUGAAAGACGGUCUUGCUGUCACUUAUAGAUGGAUCCGCGCUGCAUUAGCUAGUUGGUAAGGUAACGGCUUACCAAGGCAACGAUGCAUAGCCGACCUGAGAGGGUGAUCGGCCACACUGGAACUGAGACACGGUCCAGACUCCUACGGGAGGCAGCAGUAGGGAAUCUUCCGCAAUGGGCGAAAGCCUGACGGAGCAACGCCGCGUGAGUGACGAAGGUCUUCGGAUCGUAAAACUCUGUUAUUAGGGAAGAACAUAUGUGUAAGUAACUGUGCACAUCUUGACGGUACCUAAUCAGAAAGCCACGGCUAACUACGUG